rnacentral:rRNA from 1 species
CCUACGGUAGGCAGCCGUGAGGAAUAUUGGUCAAUGGGCGCGAGCCUGAACCAGCCAAGUCGCGUGAGGGAAGACGGUCCUAUGGAUUGUAAACCUCUUUUGUCGGGGAGCAAAAGACGCCACGCGUGGCGUUCCGAGAUUACCCGAAGAAACAGCAUCGGCUAACUCCGUGCCAGCAGCCGCGGUAAUACGGAGGAUGCGAGCGUUAUCAGGAUUGAUUGGGUUUAAAGGGUGCGCUGGCGGAGGAUCAAGUGAGCGGUAAGAUUGAGAGGCACAAGCUCUUCGAGCCGUUGAAAAUGGUUUUCUUGAGUGAGUGAGAAGUAUGAGGAAUGCGUGGUGUAGCGGUGAAAUGCAUAGAUAUCACACAGAACUCCGAUUGCGAAGGCAGCAUACCGGCGCUCAACUGACGCUCAUGCACGAAAGUGUGGGUAUCGAACAGGAUUAGAUACCCCAGUAGUC